CCUACGGGAGGCAGCAGUGAGGAAUAUUGGUCAAUGGUCGGGAGACUGAACCAGCCAAGCCGCGUGAGGGAGGAAGGUACAGAGUAUCGUAAACCUCUUUUGUCAGGGAACAAAGGCGGGGACGUGUCCCCGGAUGAGUGUACCUGAAGAAAAAGCAUCGGCUAACUCCGUGCCAGCAGCCGCGGUAAUACGGAGGAUGCGAGCGUUAUCCGGAUUUAUUGGGUUUAAAGGGUGCGCAGGCGGCUUGUUAAGUAAGCGGUCAAAGCCCGGGGCUCAACCCCGGCCCGCCGUUGAAACUGGCAGUCUCGAGUUGGAGAGAGGUAUGCGGAAUGCGCGGUGUAGCGGUGAAAUGCAUAGAUAUCGCGAAGAACUCCGAUUGCGAAGGCAGCAUGCCGGCUCCACACUGACGCUGAGGCACGAAAGCGUGGGUAGCGAACAGGAUUAGAUACCCCAGUAGUC
rnacentral:rRNA from 1 species